rnacentral:rRNA from 1 species
AGAUUGAACGCUGGCGGAAUGCUUUACACAUGCAAGUCGAGCGGCAGCGCGGGGCAACCUGGCGGCGAGCGGCGAACGGGUGAGUAAUGCAUCGGAACGUGUCCAUGUCGUGGGGGAUAGCCCGGCGAAAGCCGGAUUAAUACCGCAUACGCCCGAGAGGGGAAAGUGGGGGACCGCAAGGCCUCACGCGAUUGGAUCGGCCGAUGUCCGAUUAGCUAGUUGGCGGGUAAAGCCCACAAGGCGAUGAUCGGUGGCUGGUCUGAGAGGAUGAUCAGCCACACUGGGACUGAGACACGGCCCAGACUCCUACGGGAGGCAGCAGUGGGGAAUUUUGGACAAUGGGGGCAACCUGAUCCAGCCAUUCCGCGUGAGUGAAGAAGGCCUCGGGUUGUAAAGCUUCUUUUGUCCGGAGCGAAACGGUAGCGACGAAUACUCGCUGCCUACGUCGACGGUACCGAAGAA